GGGGGAGCCAAUCCCACAAAGCCGACAUCAGUUCGGAUUGCAGGCUGCAAUUUGCCUGCAUGAAGCUGGAAUCGAUAGUAAUCGCGGAUCAGCUGUGCCGCGGUGAAUAUGUUCCUGAGCCUUGUACACACCGCCCGUCAAGCCAUGGAAGCUGGGAGUGCCCGAAGUCGCUGACCCAACCCGCAAGGGGGGGAGGCGCCGAAGGUAAAACCGGUGACUGGGACUAAGUCGUAACAAGGUAACCGUAA
rnacentral:rRNA from 1 species